UCAGACGAUGCGUCAUGCAUAUCAAUAAGCGGAGGAAAAGAAACUAACAAGGAUUCCCUUAGUAACGGCGAGUGAAGCGGGAAGAGCUCAAAUUUGAAAUCUUCAAGGUUCUGACCUUGACGAAUUGUAGUUUAAAGAAGUGUUUUCGGUUAGAGGAGUGGUAAAAGUUCUUUGGAAUAGGACAUCAUAGAGGGUGAGAAUCCCGUAUUUGACCAUUCUUUCUAGCUUUGUGAUACACUUUCAAAGAGUCGGAUUGUUUGGGAAUGCAGUCCAAAAUGGGUGGUAAAUUUCAUCUAAAGCUAAAUAUUGGCGAGAGACCGAUAGCGAACAAGUACCGUGAGGGAAAGAUGAAAAGAACUUUGAAAAGAGAGUUAAACAGUACGUGAAAUUGUCAAAAGGGAAGCGUUUGACACCAGUGUUGUUUUUCCGAAAAUCAAUUAAAAAUGGAUUCAUGCCAAGUUGUAUUGACCUUAUCAGCUUGCAAUUUGGUUUUGGGUUCCUUUUUGAUGCACUUUUCGGUUAACAAGUCAACAUCAAUUUCCUUUGCUGUAAAAGGGCAGAAGGAAGGUGGCUUCAAUUUCGGUUGAAGUGUUUAUAGCCUUUUGUCUCUGCAGUCGGGGAGAUUGAGGUCUGCAGCGUAGAUCCUUCGGGGUUAGAUACAUUCGUGCUAAGUUAUAGCCUUUUAUAGACAACUUGUUGACUAUGAUCGGUCUUGUAAUUUACUCGCGAGUGCUAUUUUACCUACGCUUAGGAUGUUGAUAUGCAUGACUGAUAU
rnacentral:rRNA from 1 species